rnacentral:rRNA from 1 species
AGUCAACAUGCCCAGGGGACGUGGAUAACCUCGGGAAACUGAGGAUAAACCGCGAUAGGUCAUCACUUCUGGAAUGGGUAAUGACUUAAAUCUAUAUGGCCCCUGGAUUGGACUGCGGCCGAUCAGGCUGUUGGUGAGGUAAUGGCCCACCAAACCUGUAACCGGUACGGGCUCUGAGAGGAGGAGCCCGGAGAUGGGCACUGAGACAAGGGCCCAGGCCCUAUGGGGCGCAGCAGGCGCGAAACCUCUGCAAUAGGCGAAAGCUUGACAGGGUUACUCUGAGUGAUUUCCGUUAAGGAGAUCUUUUGGCACCUCUAAAAAUGGUGCAGAAUAAGGGGUGGGCAAGUCUGGUGUCAGCCGCCGCGGUAAUACCAGCGCCCCGAGUGGUCGGGACGUUUAUUGGGCCUAAAGCAUCCGUAGCCGGUUCUACAAGUCUUCCGUUAAAUCCACCUGCUUAACAGAUGGGCUGCGGAAGAUACUAUAGAGCUAGGAGGCGGGAGAGGCAAGCGGUACUCGAUGGGUAGGGGUAAAAUCCGUUGAUCCAUUGAAGACCAUCAGUGGCGAAGGCGGCUUGCCAGAACGCGCUCGACGGUGAGGGAUGAAAGCUGGGGGAGCAAACCGGAUUAGAUACCCGGGUAGUCCCAGCUGUAAACGAUGCAGACUCGGUGAUGAGUUGGCUUAUUGCUAACUCAGUGCCGCAGGGAAGCCGUUAAGUUUGCCGCCUGGGGAGUACGGUCGCAAGACUGAAACUUAA